rnacentral:rRNA from 1 species
AGUGAACGCUGGCGGUAGGCCUAACACAUGCAAGUCGAACGGCAGCACCGUAAGAGCUUGCUCUUACGGGUGGCGAGUGGCGGACGGGUGAGGACUACAUCGGAAUCUACUUUUUCGUGGGGGAUAACGUAGGGUAACUUACGCUAAUACCGCAUACGACCUACGGGUGAAAGCAGGGGAUCUUCGGACCUUGCGCGAUUGAAUGAGCCGAUGUCGGAUUAGCUAGUUGGCGGGGUAAAGGCCCACCAAGGCGACGAUCCGUAGCUGGUCUGAGAGGAUGAUUAGCCACACUGGAACUGAGACACGGUCCAGACUCCUACGGGAGGCAGCAGUGGGGAAUAUUGGACAAUGGGCGCAAGCCGGAUCCAGCCAUACCGCGUGGGUGAAGAAGGCCUUCGGGUUGUAAAGCCCUUUUGUUGGGAAAGAAAAGCAGCAGGUUAAUACCCCGCUGUUCUGACGGUACCCAAAGAAUAAGCACCGGCUAACUUCGUG